UCCAGCUGGUAGUCAGCUACCCAUUGCUGCUCAGUGCCUGUGAUAGUGUUACAAUGCUGGGAGAGAAAUGCGCUGCCAAGUCGCUCCUGGCACCACAGGUGCUGUUCUGGCCCUAGAUGGUGCCAGGUUUUGGCAGCGCUCUGCAUGCUUAAGAGUGGACUAACUCCUUCUCUGUGGAGUUAAUCCUAGACUGGAUGCAGACAAC
ensembl:snoRNA SNORA74 Small nucleolar RNA SNORA74